rnacentral:rRNA from 1 species
UACAGAGGGUGCGAGCGUUGUUCGGAUUUACUGGGCGUAAAGGGCGCGCAGGCGGCUCAUUUUGUCAGGCGUGAAAGCCCCGGGCUUAACCUGGGAACUGCGUUUGAUACGGAUGGGCUAGAGUUCGGGAGAGGAGAGUGGAAUUCCAUGUGUAGCGGUGGAAUGCGUAGAUAUAUGGAGGAACACCAAUGGCGAAGGCAGCUUACUGGACAGUUAUUGACGCUGAGAUGCGAAAGCGUGGGGAGCAAACAGG